AGCUGUUAAUGCCUCAGCAGCUCCACCUCCCCCAUGGGCUAAUGGGUCGCCGUCGCUGUCAUCAUCAUCACCACCCCCGUUGCUCCCCAGUUGAAAUUGUCUGAGCAGGAGCAUAACGGUAUUCAAAUUUUUGCAGCAAUGAGGAGGAAUGGCGAUUGACAGAUUUCACACACAGUGUGAGAGGCAAGGGUAAAGUUGCUAUCGAGAACUCAAUUCCAACAUUAUGAAGGAGGAGGGUACGUGGUGUUUUGGCCGGACACUGUAUAGGAGAUUCAUUUCAAAUGCAAGAAGGCGGUUACUUAUUGCCGUUCUCCUGUUCCCAUGAUUCGCUGCUUCCAUUAGUCCCAGUAAGUUCGUAUCGGCAGUAAAAUUCGGAUCUCGUCCCUGCACGUGAACAAUAGUUUACUCUGUUGUAAUAGACGUGUUCCUUCGGGCAGUUAGCUCGUCCAAGAUUAUCAUCCUUAUCCGCAUAAUCUGUUCAUGCACUAAAAGCCCAUGUUGGAUUGCCUUAAACUUCGUUCAUACUCUCGAAACUUUUUUUCCGAGUA